UCCAGACUCCUACGGGAGGCAGCAGUGGGGAAUAUUGCACAAUGGGGGAAACCCUGAUGCAGCGACGCCGCGUGAGUGAAGAAGUAAUUCGUUAUGUAAAGCUCUCUCAGCAGGGAAGAAAAUGACGGUACCUGAGUAAGAAGCCCCGGCUAACUACGUGCCAGCAGCCGCGGUAAUACGUAGGUGGCAAGCGUUAUCCGGAUUUACUGGGUGUAAAGGGCGUGUAGGCGGGGACGCAAGUCAGAUGUGAAAACCACGGGCUCAACCUGUGGCCUGCAUUUGAAACUGUGUUUCUUGAGUACUGGAGAGGCAGACGGAAUUCCUAGUGUAGCGGUGAAAUGCGUAGAUAUUAGGAGGAACACCAGUGGCGAAGGCGGCUUACUGGACUGUAACUGACGUUGAGGCUCGAAAGCGUGGGGAGCAAACAGGAUUAGAUACCCGUGUA
rnacentral:rRNA from 1 species